AACGAACGCUGGCGGCAUGCCUAACACAUGCAAGUCGAACGAGACCUUCGGGUCUAGUGGCGCACGGGUGCGUAACGCGUGGGAACCUGCCCUUAGGUUCGGAAUAACUCCCCGAAAGGGGGGCUAAUACCGGAUAAUGUCUUCGGACCAAAGAUUUAUCGCCUUUGGAUGGGCCCGCGUUGGAUUAGCUAGUUGGUAGGGUAAAAGCCUACCAAGGCGACGAUCCAUAGCUGGUCUGAGAGGAUGAUCAGCCACACUGGGACUGAGACACGGCCCAGACUCCUACGGGAGGCAGCAGUGGGGAAUAUAGGCCAAGGGGCGAAAGCCUGACCCAGCAAGGCCGCGUGAGUGAUGAAGGCCUUAGGGUUGUAAAGUUCUUUUACCCGGGAUGAUAAUGACAGUACCGGGAGAAUAAGCCCCGGCAAAUUCCGG
rnacentral:rRNA from 1 species